GUAGUAAUAAAAAUUAGGAUUAACAUUAUAAUAUAAAAAUUAUAAAUUAAAUACGUUAAUUUGAUUAUCGUCUCACUUUCAUAUUAACCUAUGUCACCCUUGUCGUAAUUUCUACUCACUCUUUUACUUUUUUUUAGUUAAUUAUUUUUCUCAAUGCACCCAUACCAUAAAAAGCUUAAAAAGCUUGCUGCCUCCCUAGCUAGCCAAGCUAGAUUGUUAGAAUUCAAAAUCAAGGACGGCCUCUUUGGUUGGCUGUGUUAUUGAUUAGACAUGUUUGCUUCAAAAUACUGCUUAAGCACAAGAAGUGAGCAUUAAAGAGGCGUACUUUGUAGUUUGUCUAAUUUUUUUCUUUUUAAUCGGAUAGGUUGCCUAAUAGUUAUUAUAUAAAUAAUCAUUAUAUCAAUAUCUAUACAUGCAGAUAGAUAGAAAGCUAACGAAAUUUCUGAGAAGGACUUGUCUCACAAAACAUAGAGAAUAUGCUAUUCUAAUCUAAAAGUAUUUAGUUUCUGUUUCUGAUGCAUCAAAACUCUUAUAUGUGCAAUAAGAGAGAGAGAGAUGGGUUAAGAAUUUUGCAAUAACUGUUUCUAUCACUCAUGAAAACCCACCAUUUAUGAUAAUGACACUAAGGACCUAUUUGACAUUAAUAUUGAAAUUGCUGUUAAAGAAAAUAACUUUUUAUAGUAUACUACUUAGAGAGUAUUAAAAAAUAAU
rnacentral:misc_RNA from 1 species